rnacentral:rRNA from 1 species
AGUGAACGCUGGCGGUAGGCCUAACACAUGCAAGUCGAACGGCAGCACAGUAAGAGCUUGCUCUUACGGGUGGCGAGUGGCGGACGGGUGAGGAAUACAUCGGAAUCUACUUUUUCGUGGGGGAUAACGUAGGGAAACUUACGCUAAUACCGCAUACGACCUACGGGUGAAAGCAGGGGAUCUUCGGACCUUGCGCGAUUGAAUGAGCCGAUGUCGGAUUAGCUAGUUGGCGGGGUAAAGGCCCACCAAGGCGACGAUCCGUAGCUGGUCUGAGAGGAUGAUCAGCCCCACUGGAACUGAGACACGGUCCAGCCUCCUACGGGCGGCAGCAGUGGGGAAUAUUGGACAAUGGGCGCAAGCCUAAUCCAGCCAUACCGCGUGGGUGAAGAAGGCCUUCGGGUUGUAAAGCCCUUUUGUUGGGAAAGAAAAGCAGCAGGUUAAUACCCCGCUGUUCUGGCGGUCCCCAAUGAAUAAGCACCGGCUAACUUCGUG